rnacentral:lncRNA from 1 species
GUGGGAACAAGGUCUUCAUUAAGGAUCCCUCUUAAGGUUUCAUUUAAAAAAUAGAGAUAUACACUAUUUAGAUAGAGGGCUGUUUGGCAACAUCUGAAUGGUUAAGUACUGAACCAGUAAGAGGUCUGAGCCAUUAAGUGAUUAAGUGCUGAACCAGUAAGAGGUCUGAACCAUUAAGAGCAUAUAUAAUGCUUAAUGGUUCAGAUGCAAAUGUCUGACCAAUUCAGAUUGGAGGUCUUAACCAUUCAGACUCUGUAUAAAUCUUAACCAUUCAGAGGCAAAUGUCUGAACCAUUCAGACAUUUGCUCGUGAAACAAACAGUCUGAACCAUUAAGUGUUUAACCAGUAAGAGGUCUGAACCAUUAAAAGCCUCACUAUCACUAAGAGGUAAACAAACAGCACCAGCCCCAGAGAAAGAUAAAGAUAGACAGAAAUCGAAAGAGAGAUUCAGCGAGAGAUAGAGGGAGACAGGGGAGGCCGAGAAAGAGGCUGGGUAGUAACCUAGCUGCGAUUGGCGGCAAUACCACUGUUUCAAGUGGUCGUGGUGACCGGAGGCGGAAAUCACGGUGGCCAGUGGUGGCCAUGGAGGUUGGAGUUGACUCGUGGUGGUUAGAAGAUGAUGCAGCAACCUUAAAACACUUCCAUCUUCCUCAAGUUGGACAGAAAAUUGAAGGUAACUACUUUAACCUAAAUAAAUGUAAAUUUCUUUUAGGUUUGUUGGUUGCAUGUUUGAACUAAAAUUGGAGAGGAGGAUUGAAAAUCUAGAAUAGCCAAGUGCAUGUUGCAACUAGUUGGAGUCCAUUAGAUAUACCAUUGUGUUAAUUGGAUUUAUAAAGAUGAUCAAAAGCAUGUAAAUUGACUCCUAAUAUUUUUGACAGCUUUGACUUUUUCUGUCAAAGUCAAACGAUGGGUUAAAAUGGAAAUUAGUAGGAAUAUCUUUGAUAUAUGAUGAAAUUUAAUUUGCAUUCAUGAAGUACAAGUAGUAAGGAGUUAGAAACGCCAAAAAACAUGCAAAUGAAGCUAUUUAAAUUGGUGUAAUCAUUUAGCCUAAAAGAGGGACAAAAAUGACUUUUAGUAGAAGUCUAAUUUAACAAGAAUUAACCACUGGGUGACAGCCCAGUGGCCACCGACACCCGCCUUAAAACCGGAACGAGGGCCCAAGAGGUCUCGGGUUCGAUACAUGUGUCGGACCCCUCGUUGAUGGUUAUGGGGAUUUACAGCCAGGAAGCCUUGUCGGGUGGUGACCUGGGAGGGGAGAUCCCCUCCGCGGUCGGGGGUACCGUGCAAUUAUCUUUUUUUUUUAAUUUAACAAGAAUUGGAAUUUCUUGUGUAUGGUCAAGAAACAAGUUGUAGUUGGUUACUUGGAACAAGAACCUGUUUAUAUAUGAUAAUCUUAAAGCUCAAACAAGUUGAUUAAGGAAAGAGUGGAAUGGAAUCACGAAUUCCAUCUUUUAAUAAAGAGGGUAAAAAUGAGAUUUUUGGAGAUUUCUUCAAAGAAUGGUCAAAAUGGAUCAAGUAAUGAUCCAAUACACUUAGAAUAAUAAUUAUAAAGUGUUGUGAACAUUUUCAUAGAAAUUUGAUAGUAAAAUAUCAAGUUUUUAAUUUUUAUAACGGUUUUCAUUUUUAGAAACUUUAUCGAUUUAUAAAGCUAAAAAUGGCAUAAAAAAAGGAUCCAAUGAGAUAUGUUUUGAAAUCUAAGCAUUAGUAAUGACUUAUAAACAGGUUUGGACCAGAAAGUCAUUAAAUUAACAUGCUAAAUCCCGAGAAAUCACGUUUGGGCAAAGUAGGAUGCCUAAAUGAGAGAAAAUGGUCACGUUUGGGUAAUAUUUUCGUGUCUUAACAAUGAGAUAUAUUUUCGAGUGUUCGUCAUGCUUAUCAGUUUAAGCUUCGUUUUGAUGUUAUUUGACUGAAUCACUUGUUUCGUACUUUCGUGUGUAAUUUUGAGCUUUCGUUGUGCUUGAUCUGGAACAUAUGGUGAGAUUAGACCUUGCUAUAACUUGUAUAAUGAUGUUGACAAGUUAUUUAUGGUUGUUUGAAUAGUCUGUACUGUAUUAGAUGAUAAACUGUGACUUUUUUUUAUGAUUUUCGUCUAGUUACGUGCGUUUUCUGGCAGAAAAAGUAAACGGCGCACUCAAUUUCGUCAACUGAAGAUAUUUUUUGGUGCGAAAUUGUUAGAGGAUUUAGGUUUAAAAUUCAGCAUUGAAACUAUCGUGAUAUACUUUUCUUAAUUCAUCGUUCUGCUAAAAUAAUUGUGUUCUACUGUUGAUUCGGGUAUGAAAUAGGAAUGAAUUUAAGCGUAAUUUUGAUGUACCAAAUGAAUUUUGAUUCGGGUACGGUUCGGUACCGGUACCCGGUACCAAAUGAAGUUCAUUGUCGGCAAACAUAUAAUAUUGGUGGUAUGAGAUGCCGGAUGUUACAAAAUCAGUUUAAUUUGUGAGUUUUCUUGCUGAAUGUUAUUGGUAAAUCAAUUUAGUUAUUGACCCUUUCAACAUCUUUACUCUGUUUGUGAUUUGCCUUUACAUAAUCAGUUGAUAAAUCAAGCUAGUGGGUUAUUUAUUUUAUUUUUUGGGGAUUUUUAUGGAAAUAACAGUUAAUCUGCAAUGACAAGUGAAGUAGAAUCACUGACCCAAUUGAGAAAAAUCUUAAUUUAUCAUUUAUCUUGUUGAUUCAUAGUUAUAAUCUUGUGUUGCAGGUUGUUUAUGACAAAGGCAGUGGAAGAAGCAGGGGGUUCGGCUUUGUAACCAUGUCAACCGUCGAAGAAGUUGAGGCGGCUACACGACAAUGAUUGGAAUGGCAGGAACUCGACGGGAGGCAAUUGAGGGUGAACUCCGGGCCACCACCAAGCAAAGGAGACUCUUUCUCUAGAGGGCAAAGAGACGGUGGUCGUGGCGGCUACAACAGUGUUGUAGGUGGUGGAGGGAGAAGUUAUGCAGCACAAAUAAGGUUUAUGUUGGAAACCUUGCUUGUAGUGUGGACAAUCUGGCUCUUGAAACCUUGUUUCAAGAGCAAGGAAAUGUCAUGGAAGUUCGGGUGGUUUAUGAUAGGGGCAGCGGUCGGUCAAAGGGUUUUGGUUUCGUGACGUAUGGUUCGAUGGAUGAGGUUAAUAAAGCUAUUGAUUCAAUGGAUGGCCUUUGUUAG